CUACCCUGUAGACUGGGAUAACACCUCGAAAGGGGUGCUAAUACCGGAUAAUGUCGAGAAGCGGCAUCGCUUUUCGAAGAAAGGAGGGAAUCCGCUAUAGGAGGAGUCCGCGUCCCAUUAGCUAGUUGGUGAGGGUAACGGCCCACCAAGGCGACGAUGGGUAGCCGGCCUGAGAGGGUGAACGGCCACACUGGAACUGAGACACGGUCCAGACUCCUACGGGAGGCAGCAGUGGGGAAUAUUGUGCAAUGGGGGAAACCCUGACACAGCGACCCCGCGUGAGUGAAGAAGGCCUUCGGGUCGUAAAGCUCAAUAGUAUGGGAAGAAAGAAAUGACGGUACCAUACGAAAGCCCCGGCUAACUACGUGCCAGCAGCCGCGGUAAUACGUAGGGGGCGAGCGUUGUCCGGAAUUACUGGGCGUAAAGAGCACGUAGGCGGCUAUAAAAGUCAGAUGUGAAAAACCUGGGCUCAACCGAGGGUAUGCAUCUGAAACUAUAUAGC
rnacentral:rRNA from 1 species